GAUGAACGCUGGCGGCGUGCCUAAUACAUGCAAGUCGAGCGAACAGACGAGGAGCUUGCUCCUCUGACGUUAGCGGCGGACGGGUGAGUAACACGUGGAUAACCUACCUAUAAGACUGGGAUAACUUCGGGAAACCGGAGCUAAUACCUGAUAAUAUAUUGAACCGCAUGGUUCAAUAGUGAAAGACGGUUUUGCUGUCACUUAUAGAUGGAUCCGCGCCGCAUUAGCUAGUUGGUAAGGUAACGGCUUACCAAGGCAACGAUGCGUAGCCGACCUGAGAGGGUGAUCGGCCACACUGGAACUGAGACACGGUCCAGACUCCUACGGGAGGCAGCAGUAGGGAAUCUUCCGCAAUGGGCGAAAGCCUGACGGAGCAACGCUGCGUGAGUGAUGAAGGUCUUCGGAUCGUAAAACUCUGUUAUUAGGGAAGAACAAAUGUGUAAGUAACUAUGCACGUCUUGACGGUACCUAAUCAGAAAGCCACGGCUAACUACGUG
rnacentral:rRNA from 1 species